rnacentral:siRNA from 1 species
CGACGUCGCGAGAAGUCCAC